GAGGGUGUAGCUCAGUGGUAGAGCACAUGCUUAGCAUGCAUUAGGUCCUGGGUUCAAUCCCCAGUACCUCCA
rnacentral:tRNA from 1 species